rnacentral:rRNA from 1 species
AACGCGAAGAACCUUACCUACCCUUGACAUGUACGGAAGCCUCCAGAGAUGGGGUGUGCCCGAAAGGGAGCCGUAACACAGGUGCUGCAUGGCUGUCGUCAGCUCGUGUCGUGAGAUGUUGGGUUAAGUCCCGCAACGAGCGCAACCCUUGUCCCUAGUUGCUACGCAAGGGCACUCUAGGGAGACUGCCGGUGACAAACCGGAGGAAGGUGGGGAUGACGUCAAGUCCUCAUGGCCCUUAUGGGUAGGGCUUCACACGUCAUACAAUGGCCGGUACAGAGGGUUGCCAAAGCGCGAGCUGGAGCCAAUCCCAGAAAGCCGGUCGUAGUCCGGAUUGCAGUCUGCAACUCGACUGCAUGAAGUCGGAAUCGCUAGUAAUCGCGGAUCAGCAUGUCGCGGUGAAUACGUUCCCGGGCCUUGUA